GACGAACGCUGGCGGCGUGCUUAACACAUGCAGGUCGAACGGAAAGGCCCUGCUUUUGUGGGGUGCUCGAGUGGCGAACGGGUGAGUAACACGUGAGUAACCUGCCCUUGACUUUGGGAUAACUUCAGGAAACUGGGGCUAAUACCGGAUAGGAGCUCCUGCUGCAUGGUGGGGGUUGGAAAGUUUCGGCGGUUGGGGAUGGACUCGCGGCUUAUCAGCUUGUUGGUGGGGUAGUGGCUUACCAAGGCUUUGACGGGUAGCCGGCCUGAGAGGGUGACCGGCCACAUUGGGACUGAGAUACGGCCCAGACUCCUACGGGAGGCAGCAGUGGGGAAUAUUGCACAAUGGGCGGAAGCCUGAUGCAGCAACGCCGCGUGCGGGAUGAAGGCCUUCGGGUUGUAAACCGCUUUCGCCUGUGACGAAGCGUGAGUGACGGUAAUGGGUAAAGAAGCACCGGCUAACUACGUG
rnacentral:rRNA from 1 species